rnacentral:misc_RNA from 1 species
GUUACUAGUAGAAUAUUGGCUUCUGUUGUUUAUUGGAGGGGUUUAUGGAAAGAUGUGAGGAAUUAUGUUAGAACUUGUGUAGUUUGUCAGCAAAAUAAGUACGAAACUAUUGCUGUUCCAAGUUCCUUGCAGCCUUUACCUCUUCCACAGGGUCUUUUCACAGAUAUUACUAUGGAUUUCAUUGAGGGACUUCCUAAGUCUCAAGGAAGAACUGUUAUUAUGGUGGUGGUUGAUAGGCUCAUUAAGUA